rnacentral:lncRNA from 1 species
GUGCCACGAUGACAAGCCAUCGUGCCACGAUGGUAAAGAUUUUCAGCAGAUUUUCAUCAAUUUUAUCCGUUUCUCAUCGCGCCACGCCCAGACUCAGCGUGGGUACGAUGGUGUACUGCUUUAUUCCAUUUUUUGCCCUUUUUUGCUUUUUUUUCCACUUUUCUUGCUUCUGGUCCUUGUGUCUUCAUUGUUCCCGAUAUUUUCUUGCUUUUGGUCUUUAAUUACUAUAAAACUACUCUAAUCUACUACUCAAAACAUCAUAUAAUUGGCUGUCAUCACAACCCCACACUUAAACUGUUGCUCGUCCUCGAGUAACAUGCUUGUCAAACAAAAUCGUCAGCGAGACAACAGAUAACUUAGAUGACAUACAAU